CGAAAGGAAGAAUGCACUUGAAAAUUGCUUUGAUAAAAAAAAUACAAACAUUAUGAAAACUGACGGUAGUAAGUUAAAAACCGAAACACUGCAAACGUAAGGCCAGAAACAGAUCUAUGUCCCCCGUACUCGUAAUGUGCCAACGAAUAACCACUUCUUUAAGUGAUCAAACACAGGUGUAUACGUUCUUUCACAGCUGACCGCAAGGAUAUAGACGCGUUUCAAGAACUUCAGUUUUACACUUGUAAAUACCACAGCCUUUUCCACGGCUGUUACCGCAGCCCAGCUUCACUUGAACCGGAACCGUUUUGGACCGGCUUUGACAUGUAGGUGUGACCUGACCGGUGGACUCAGGGGUUAAAGGUCACCACGACCCGUUACAUGAUCGGAAUGCGAGCGGUGUUUUCAAGUGCAGGAUGUCCUCAAUGGCGGAACAGAGGGGCGCAGAAGAUCGGAUGACCUGGUUCUUGACCUGGUUGAUUGGUGGAGAUUGCUUGUAAUAUCACUGGAUUGUCUGGUCCAGACUCGUAUAUUUACAGGCCAUGAAGCUGUAAUAAUGCUAUGUGCGGCGUUGCGUAACAAUACUCUUGCCCUGAACAAGCGUUUGGUAAACGAGGACGAAACAGAUGGAUGGAAUAAUUACUGCGUACAAUUUUGUAGCUCAAAAAACAAACAAAAAUAUAAUUUAUUAAAAUUCAUGCAAUGGACGGUUUAGUGACAACUUUGAAUUACAGGGCUCAUUAAAUCAUUAUUAUCAGCUGAUUACUCGUGUUUCGUUAGGAAUGCAGCCAGUUAAUGAGCACCGAGGAACUGUCAU